rnacentral:rRNA from 1 species
UACGUAGGGGGCUAGCGUUGUCCGGAUUUAUUGGGCGUAAAGAGCGUGUAGGCGGCCAGGUAGGUCUGGUGUGAAAACUCGAGGCUUAACCUCGAGAUGUCAUCGGAAACCAUCUGGCUAGAGUCCGGAAGAGGAGAGUGGAAUUCCUGGUGUAGCGGUGAAAUGCGCAGAUAUCAGGAAGAACACCAAUGGCGAAGGCAGCUCUCUGGGGCGGUACUGACGCUGAGGCGCGAAAGCGUGGGGAGCGAACAGG